ACUUUUAUACAAGCACCUCAUAGUAUAUAAUGCAAUACUAUUCACAGGGGCUGAUCUAACACUUAUCCACAUAUAAUCAAGGUCUGACGAAACAGGAUGGGAUCUCAGUCCUCAUCCGGGUCGUACUCAGGAUCCUCCUCGUGGUCAUCUUCUUCUCCAAAAUCUUCCUCCUUAUCUGGUUCCACAUUAGGGUUCUCCUCUUCAGAUUCCUUCUCCUCAAACUCCUCAUCA
rnacentral:lncRNA from 1 species